GUGCUCGCUUCGGCAGCAAAUAUACUAAACUUGGGACAAUACAGAAAAGAUUAGCAUGGUCCUUGCGCAAGGAUGGCACAAAAAAAGAAAAAAAAAAAAAUAUCCUU
rnacentral:snRNA from 1 species